GUCAGAAGGAGCACCAGAAGCUUUAAAUGAUGCCACAGCAGGUCAUGGCUGGCGGAUGAAAACAAACACGUCAGUUGUAAUUAAAGCUGUCGGUUGUAAUUACAGACGCUUAAGCAUAAAAUUAACCCUGUACUAGCACAUGAAAGAGCUCAAAUGAUGAUUUAUCCCCAUUGAUGUAUUUGGGAACACUGUUGAAUAUAUAUAAUUUACAUAUUCUAAUUUGGGAGAUAGAUUUAAGAAAGAAAAAAAAAACCUAUGACUUCCAUAGCAUUUUUUCAAUACUAUGGAAGUCAAUGGGGACCAGCAACUGUUUGGUUACCAACAUUCACCAUAAUAUCUUAUUUUGCGUUCAACAGAAGAAAGAAACUGGAACAACUUGAGGGUGAGUUAAUGAUGACAGAAUUAAUGUCUAUAAUUGAUGAGAAUGGUGAUGACUGAAUUCCCCUUUGAAUUUUGAUGCCUAUUUGUGUCCAUCAAACACCAUGAGAAAUCUUAUAUAUAUUCUCUACAUUUACCUGUCUAAUGUGGAGCAGAUUUUAAAAUUCUUUAUGAACUGACCAUUAAAGCUGACAUGAAAAGCAUUAUAUCUGGGUGCUCUAUGGGUUAACUGAGGCUUGGAGAAACCUGUUGCCAAUUAAGCGUGUGGAAUGCCACAUAUAGACAUUUCCUCAGACCUUCCACCACAGGUUUCAGAGCACAUGUUCCCUUCCAGACAGACAAUAUAACCGCUUAGGGAGUUUAAAAUGUUUGUUUUAUUUACAUUUUUGCUUUCAUGGUUUGGAAACAGUUGUCGGAACUGACCUUGUGGACAAUGUGUUUGGCUCCGCUCUGAUUCAUUCUCUGGAUUACAGGAGACCCAAGCUUAAGUGUCUUUAGGAUAUUUCUAUUCUGCAUAAGCUGCGAUGGAGACUCAGAGGUUUUUAUUUCUCAUCUGUCUGAUGAUGUGUGGAGGAGACACUGAAAGUACACCUGAAAUCUGCACAGGAGCGCACUGCCAAAGAUCUCCAUCUAGAUCACCUGAUCACCAGAGCAGAUUUUCAGUUUAUACUCCAAGACGCCCAUCAGUUCCCUACACGGUAAUACAUCCGCAGCACAGUAGGACUGGCAGUCCGAAAGUUAACCCAAGGACCAUCACAGCUGAGGUGUUCAACCCACAGGGAUGCACGGGAGGAGGUUGUCAUGGCUCGCAAAGACUGACAAAUAAUGAUAUGAAAGAGUGCAAGGGAAUCGGAUGUAAACUACCUGUAAGGAUGCGACAAGAUCCCAAACAGCAUUCCACAGGGACAGAUGUUGGAAGAAGCAGACUUUCUUUUGUCCAUAUGCAGGACAGAGCCGAGCAAGUAUUGGGAGAAUUUCCGGAGUUGGGAACUCGAGGGGGACCAUCAGCUGGAAUUCAGUUAACAUGCAACAUCAAACCAGGCACAAAUGAGGUCCAUUCUGAAGAUGCAUUAGUGUUGCAUUUGCACUUGGCAACAGGUCAGGAUAAACUGGUGGACCAGUUGCAAGGGCAGCAAGCUGAAGUUAAGCAACUUCAGAACACACUGAGAGAACAGCAAAACGCUCUACUAGCCCACCAAAGAGAAAUACUGGACCAACAACAGAUUAUGUUUGAAAAGAUGGAAGAAGUCAAGACCCAGUACAACCUUCUUCUUGACGGGGUCAAACAGUUAUCUGUGCAAGGCCCACAGGGCGUCACUGAGAGCCAUUUGGAUGGUCUCCAGUCCCAGGUUACGACCUUUUCUCAGGAGGCCUUUGCAAUGCAUAAGAUGAACAUGGAUGCUAGUGUUACAGAUGCUGACAGACCUCUACCUGGCUGUGGAUCCUGCCGAUCAGAUGAGUACUGCGACUUCAGUGCAGACCGGCCACGUUGUGAGAAAUGCACUGUUUGCCCUCCGGGAUUCUUUCUGGUGGCUCAGUGUUCCAUUCACGCUGACAGGAUUUGCCAGGACAGAGACGAAUGCCUGGAGAUACCAAACUUAUGUAAAGAACACAACCAGUGCCUCAAUACACCAGGGGGAUUUCGCUGCUCCGGCAUGUUGGAGAGGGAAGCAGCCGCUGGGAUGUGUGGGCACUCUUAUUUUUACAGUUCAGAGAUGGAGGAGUGUCAAGCCUGUACAGAAUGUGAUUCUCAGCCAAUGACAUCCCCAUGUUCAGCCUUGAAUGAUGCCGUGUGUGCCAACCCCUCUGAAAGCAAACUCUCACUUUCUUGGUCUGGUAACGUUGACCUAGCCAAGGGUAGUGCGUUUCCUGAAAAGCAACUUCACAUCCGUGGUAACAGUGACGGAAGCCUUCUUUCCUGCACUGAUGGUUGGAUAGUGCUCCACCAGCAUGGGCUUGUUUGGGUUGACCAUAACCUUGCUUUAAAACACGGCUGCCGCAGCUUCAUUCAAGCGUGUUUACGACUGAACGCCAGUGAAGAUGAAGGUCGGGAUCUGAGUGGGAUGCGUUUGGAGCAGCGGGAGGGCAAAUCUCUCCAGAGCGCCAGUGUGAGUGGAGCAACUUCUGUGGAGCCAGGUCAUGUACUCUACCUUACUCUCAAGAGCGCCACCAACCAGUGUAGCCAAGACAGUGAAGACGUGCACCUUCAGAGCAGCCUAAUCUCACCUUUCAGCUUGCUCUGGUUGUCCCAUGACACAGGUGCAGUUGCAAUGACUGCUCAGGCCAUUGCUUCUGCACAUUACCACACCAACUACCGUCCUGCCUUCCGUACAUCAUCCAUCUCCGACCCCUACAUGGUCGGCUUGACCCAGGACAACCGAGGGGUGCGCUUCAGAGAAAGUGGCACUGUGAAGUUUGUCCUCCAGCAAGCAUUGUACUCCAUGGGUCAAGCCUGUAUCUCCGAGGGCUUCUACUUGCUUGCAUACGUGAACCACAACGGAAGCAGCGCUGAGCUGACCCGUGCAUUCAAGUCCGGCGUACACUACAGAGACACAUCUAUUUCUCUCUCAGCAGCCACCACUGUGGAUUCUGGGGAUAUGCUCACCUUUGAGAUCCUUGCACCCGCACAGUGCAAUGUGCGCUACUUCGGUGACGACUCUGGGAUUAGCAUGCUCAGUCUAGUGUGGAUCCCUUCAGCCGUGUCCACUGCCUUGUCGGCCUCUGUGUCCAGGAAAGGUCUGCCCUCUGGCGCAGUGCGGAAUAAAGCCUUGUUCUUCCAUCAGACAAGUCCGGCGGUUCCACAAGUUGCACUAGCUGGAACCAAAGAUCACAGAGACUUCAUCUUUCGGGAAGCAGGGACGGCGAGUGUGGCUUUAGAUCUGCGGCUUAUUCACUCAUGCAAUCUAAUCAAACUCACCUUGCUCCAACAGAGCAGGUCUCAGGGGGUUCAGCCAGCUCCUGUAGCUCAACAGAUUGGUGGACAUAUGCCAGAAGGAAGUGUAUGGGCAAGUGUGGGGUUGAGGGUAUCAUUUCAGGUGCGUAAUGGCACUGUGAUCUUCGCUACAGUGGACUGCGUUAGAGGGCGCAUCAACCAAAUUGCCCAUGAUGCUGGAAGUACCAUGUCUAUCCUCUGGACAGCUGCAUAAUCAUAGCAUGAAUCUGCUAGCAUGAUGUCAACCCUGUUGAAAAAACAGCAUAUGCUGGUUAGGUAUGUUUUGAUGCAUGGUAGCUGGUUUGAGCUGGUUUAAGCUGGUCCUGAUCUGGUUAUAAAUUGGUUAUGAGCAGGAGCUAGUUGCUUAGUACCAGCUCAAUACCAGCUGCCAUGCAUCAGAACAUACCUAACCUGCAUAUGCUGUUUUUUUUUCAACAGGGAAGCUUCUUUUAGAUGUUUUUAUUUAGAUGCAAUUGAUUUGGUUUCUUUUGAAAAUAUUUUCUAAGCUGUCCAACCAAUUAGUAGCUUGUUUCAGAGUAAAUUUCUGGUUUAAGUAGCAUUGUGUCAAGUAUGCUUUUUUAAAACUUUGCUGAGAAAAAAUUGUGAAAAUAUUAUGAAAGAAACAUUUAUUCUUUUUUACUUACAAAUCUUUUUGUUGGUUUUUGUAUGGUUUAAUGUUGUUAAAAUAAUUGCAUCUACUUGUUCUUUUUUAGCAGUUUUCCUUUCAUUAUAUUUGCAUUUCAUAAAACGUCAUUAUCUAAAUGUAUAUCAUUAAUUAUUUGCCUUGUUUUCCUCUCAAGGGAAGGUAUGUCGUACAGCAUGUUUUGUAUCUUGCCUGUGUCUUUGAAUAAAACAUUCAGUGGUAGCCA
ensembl:lncRNA